CAGGUGGCCCAGUUAAAUUCGAAUUUCAGCUAAACAAUGAAUACUAUUUUAGAAUAAAAUGUCUUGCACUAUUUGGGACAUACUUAUGCUAAAAAUUAUUCAUCAUUUAGCUGAAAUUCAAACUUAACUGAGCAUCCUGUA
rnacentral:miRNA from 1 species